rnacentral:rRNA from 1 species
GACGAACGCUGGCGGCGUGCUUAACACAUGCAAGUCGAACGAAGUGGCGAACGGGUGAGUAAAGCGUAAUCAAACUGCCCUUCAGAGGGGGACAACAGUUGGAAAAGACUGCUAAUAACGAAUACUGAAGGUGGGGAUUGCGUCUGAUUAGCUAGUUGGAGGGGUAACGGCCCACCAAGGCGAUGAUCAGUAGCCGGUCGUAGAGUAUGACCAGCCACAUUGGGACUGAGAAACGGCCCAGACGCCUACGGGAGGCAGCAGUGGGGAAUCGUCCGCAAUUGACGAAAGUCUGACGGAGCAACGCCGCGUGAGUGAUGACGGCCUUCGGGUUGUAAAGCUCUGUUAAUCGGGACGCGGUACCGGAAUAGAAAGCCACGGCUAACUACGUGCCAGCAGCCGCGGUAAUUC